UGGGGAAUAUUGCACAAUGGGCGAAAGCCUGAUGCAGCCAUGCCGCGUGUAUGAAGAAGGCCUUCGGGUUGUAAAGUACUUUCAGCGGGGAGGAAGGUGUUGAGGCUAAUAACCUCAGCAAUUGACGUUACCCGCAGAAGAAGCACCGGCUAACUCCGUGCCAGCAGCCGCGGUAAUACGGAGGGUGCAAGCGUUAAUCGGAAUUACUGGGCGUAAAGCGCACGCAGGCGGUCUGUCAAGUCGGAUGUGAAAUCCCCGGGCUCAACCUGGGAACUGCAUUCGAAACUGGCAGGCUAGAGUCUUGUAGAGGGGGGUAGAAUUCCAGGUGUAGCGGUGAAAUGCGUAGAGAUCUGGAGGAAUACCGGUGGCGAAGGCGGCCCCCUGGACAAAGACUGACGCUCAGGUGCGAAAGCGUGGGGAGCAAACA
rnacentral:rRNA from 1 species